CUCAGAGCUCUAAAUCGCCGUCAGUCCCCAAAGGCAGGAGGUCCUUGGGGAGCGGGACCAUGUGCACCACUCUGGCAGUCCUCACCACCAUCGCUCUCAUCCUGCGGCAUAAAUUCUCCAACAAAAUCCAGCCGCAGAAAGAGGCUGCUGAGAAAGACGUGCCAUACACGAAGAGCAAUGGAGCAGCAGAAACCCAAAAAUGACAACAGUGAGCAUCUCGGGACAUGAACUAAGAUCAGAGUUGGCUCAAGUCUCAGCUUCAAGACUGGUGAGCAUGAGUCAGCAUCUGCUAUCAAGACUUCUUUCCCUGGAUACUACAGGAGAAACUUCCCUUUAUCGCUUGUUGUUUUCUCUGAUUGAUCAGAUUCUGAUUCAUGUGCACUUGACAGCUCACGCCAAGACUCCCACCGGGAUUAGAAAUAAAUAAAUAAAUAAAAAUGUGGGCUUGAAAAACAAUGAGGCCUGUAUGUGUCCUGCAUAUGCUCUCAUUACUGAGCCAGGAAACAGCGGCCGAGUGAAUUCUGAGAAGAUGUAACCUGACAAAUGCUCUGUUUUCCUCGGAAAAACUGAAUUAACAGCGUUGUUUUCUGUUUCGGAACAGAUGUGAUGAAGGUUUAAAGUGAUAGAACACAUUCUGUGCCUCCGCAUGAAAUCUAGCUAUGAUUAUUUCUUUGAUUUUCUGUUUUGCUUGCUUUUAAAAUCAAUCAGUUUAUGUACAAGGAUAGGAUCUUCUUGUAAGAUCUUGUAUUAAGUGACCUGAUUUCUUCUGCAUUAGGAGUUGAAGUUGCGCUGUAUCAUAUAUGGCCAUUCUGUGAUUCCCUUAAAGGUGUAUGUUGAUCUCACAGGAAAAACCCACUGA